rnacentral:rRNA from 1 species
GACGUAGGAUGCAAGCGUUGUCCGGAAUUAUUGGGCGUAAAGAGUUCGUAGGCGGUUGCCUAAGUCUGAUGUUAAAUACUGGAGCUCAACUCCGGCAUGGCAUUGGAAACUGGGCAGCUAGAGUGUGGUAGAGGUCUCGGGAAUUCCAGGUGUAGCGGUGAAAUGCGUAGAUAUCUGGAGGAACACCGGUGGCGAAAGCGCGAGACUGGGCCAUAACUGACGCUGAGGAACGAAAGCCAGGGGAGCGAAAGGGAGUUAGA